rnacentral:rRNA from 1 species
UACGGAGGGUGCGAGCGUUGUCCGGAAUCACUGGGCGUAAAGGGCGCGUAGGCGGCAUGCCAAGCGUGUGGUGAAAGCCCGGGGCUCAACCCCGGGUCGGCCGUGCGGACUGGCGUGCUCGAGCACUGUAGGGGCGGGUGGAAUUCCGGGUGUAGCGGUGGAAUGCGUAGAGGAUCCGGAAGAACACCGGUGGCGAAGGCGGCCUGCUG